rnacentral:rRNA from 1 species
AUUGAACGCUGGCGGCAGGCCUAACACAUGCAAGUCGAACGGUAACAGGAAACUUCUUGCUGUUUCGCUGACGGGUGGCGGGCGGGUGGGCUAUGUCUGGGCAACUGCCUGAUGGAGGGGGAUAACUACUGGAAACGGUUGCUAAUACCGCAUAACGUCGGAAGACCAAAGAGGGGGACCUUCGGGCCUCUUAGCUUCGGCUGUGCCCAGAUGGGAUUAGCUAGUAGGUGGGGUAACGGCUCACCUAGGCGACGAUCCGUAGCUGGUCUGAGAGGAUGAACAGCCACACUGGAACUGAGACACGGUCCAGACUCCUACGGGAGGCAGCAGUGGGGAAUAUUGCACAAUGGGCGCAAGCCUGAUGCAGCCAUGCCGCGUGUAUGAAGAAGGCCUUCGGGUUGUAAAGUACUUUAAGCGGGGAGGAAGGGAGUUAAGUUAAUACCUUGACUUAUUGACGUUACCAGCAGAAGAAGCACCGGCUAACUCCGUG